rnacentral:rRNA from 10 species
AAUUGAAGAGUUUGAUCAUGGCUCAGAUUGAACGCUGGCGGCAGGCCUAACACAUGCAAGUCGAGCGGUAGCACAGAGAGCUUGCUCUCGGGUGACGAGCGGCGGACGGGUGAGUAAUGUCUGGGAAACUGCCUGAUGGAGGGGGAUAACUACUGGAAACGGUAGCUAAUACCGCAUAAUGUCGCAAGACCAAAGUGGGGGACCUUCGGGCCUCAUGCCAUCAGAUGUGCCCAGAUGGGAUUAGCUAGUAGGUGGGGUAACGGCUCACCUAGGCGACGAUCCCUAGCUGGUCUGAGAGGAUGACCAGCCACACUGGAACUGAGACACGGUCCAGACUCCUACGGGAGGCAGCAGUGGGGAAUAUUGCACAAUGGGCGCAAGCCUGAUGCAGCCAUGCCGCGUGUGUGAAGAAGGCCUUCGGGUUGUAAAGCACUUUCAGCGGGGAGGAAGGCGUUAAGGUUAAUAACCUUGGCGAUUGACGUUACCCGCAGAAGAAGCACCGGCUAACUCCGUGCCAGCAGCCGCGGUAAUACGGAGGGUGCAAGCGUUAAUCGGAAUUACUGGGCGUAAAGCGCACGCAGGCGGUCUGUCAAGUCGGAUGUGAAAUCCCCGGGCUCAACCUGGGAACUGCAUUCGAAACUGGCAGGCUAGAGUCUUGUAGAGGGGGGUAGAAUUCCAGGUGUAGCGGUGAAAUGCGUAGAGAUCUGGAGGAAUACCGGUGGCGAAGGCGGCCCCCUGGACAAAGACUGACGCUCAGGUGCGAAAGCGUGGGGAGCAAACAGGAUUAGAUACCCUGGUAGUCCACGCCGUAAACGAUGUCGAUUUGGAGGUUGUGCCCUUGAGGCGUGGCUUCCGGAGCUAACGCGUUAAAUCGACCGCCUGGGGAGUACGGCCGCAAGGUUAAAACUCAAAUGAAUUGACGGGGGCCCGCACAAGCGGUGGAGCAUGUGGUUUAAUUCGAUGCAACGCGAAGAACCUUACCUGGUCUUGACAUCCACAGAACUUAGCAGAGAUGCUUUGGUGCCUUCGGGAACUGUGAGACAGGUGCUGCAUGGCUGUCGUCAGCUCGUGUUGUGAAAUGUUGGGUUAAGUCCCGCAACGAGCGCAACCCUUAUCCUUUGUUGCCAGCGGUCCGGCCGGGAACUCAAAGGAGACUGCCAGUGAUAAACUGGAGGAAGGUGGGGAUGACGUCAAGUCAUCAUGGCCCUUACGACCAGGGCUACACACGUGCUACAAUGGCAUAUACAAAGAGAAGCGACCUCGCGAGAGCAAGCGGACCUCAUAAAGUAUGUCGUAGUCCGGAUUGGAGUCUGCAACUCGACUCCAUGAAGUCGGAAUCGCUAGUAAUCGUAGAUCAGAAUGCUACGGUGAAUACGUUCCCGGGCCUUGUACACACCGCCCGUCACACCAUGGGAGUGGGUUGCAAAAGAAGUAGGUAGCUUAACCUUCGGGAGGGCGCUUACCACUUUGUGAUUCAUGACUGGGGUGAAGUCGUAACAAGGUAACCGUAGGGGAACCUGCGGUUGGAUCACCUCCUUA